CAUGUAACUUUCAGAGUUUUAUUGUUAUUAAUAUAGUUUACAGAGUGCUAAAAGUCCUGCUGUUGCUAGCUAGCAUGCCUUUCUGUGAUGCAGACGGUUAGCUGCCCACUGGUGCUGCAUUAUGGGAGAUGUAGUUUUGUCCUCUACGGUCUGAAUUUGAUAGAGGCUGAAUGGGAUAGAGGCGAUUUCACGUUGUAACUUGUUUGUGUUGCAGUGUUUUUGUACAUGAGUUGUUAUUCUUCUGGACGAUCUCCGUCUCCUACUGGGACUGUCUUCUUACCCCCUCCUAUCAUAUGGAACAGUCUCUACAAGCAGGCAGAGAUGGAGGUUCACUUCCUGAGAGAAGAGAAGAAGACCUGUACAGAGAAGGAAGCCCACAUGCUUGAGUUGAGGGGGAAGGAUCAAACGAUCCAAAUCAGAAGAAGGAGAUGGACAGACUUCAAGUGUGCCUCUGGGAGGAGGAAAAGAAGAAGAGGAAUGGUGGAACGGAGAAGGACAAGAUCAUUGAACAAUUACAGUCUGAGACAGACCAUCUCAGAGCCCUUUUAAAAGAUGAAAGGAGGAGAAGAAGAGUAGAAAGGGGUAUAAUGAAAGAGUGGAAGGCUGAGAUCCUGAGACUGAGGGAGGCAGAGAGCCAGAGGGAGGCAGAGAGCCAGAGGGAGGCAGAGAGCCAGAGAGAGGCAGAGAGCCAGAGAGAGGGAGAGAAGCAGAGAGACAGAGGGAGGCAGAGAGAGAGAGGGAAGCAGAGAGACAGAGUGAGGCAGAGAGACAGAGGGAGGCAGAGAGACAGAGGGAGGCAGAGAGACAGAGAGAAGCAGAGAGAGCCACAGAAGCAAUGGAGUACCAGAGAAAACUGCAGGAGAUCCACAGACUCAAACAACUGCUGGAUCUACUGAUGGUGGACCUACAACUGGCCCACAGAGAGAGAGAAGAUAAUAGAGGCAACGAAAAGAGAUGAGAUGGCAGAAGAGGAAAGAAGGGAGAUCCUUGAGAAGAGGGGUGAGUUAGAGGACACUGAAGAGGAGGAGGAGAAGGACGAUGACAAGGAGGACAUUCUCCCACCUGAUAAAAGUAUCCGAAGGAGAGCUGUGGGCUGGGUAAACAAGAAGUGGGAGAAGAGGAACCUCAGAAAGAUAGAGAGAACGUAUCAGAGAGAGGCUGAGGAGGGCUAUAAGAUCGUCCACAUAGGUCAUCCCUGGACCCAUAAGGCUAACCAUGACCCGGGCAGAGAGAGAGAGGAAGGAGCUCCUGAAGACAGAGGAGAGAAGGAAUAAGAUGGAGGAUUGCAGUGGAGAGAGCAGUCCCUGCUUAAUAAACGGACUCAUCAGAAACUUAAAGAGGAGAGGGAGAGGAUGAAGGAACAGUACCUAAAAAAAACAAGCAAGAGAUUUAAGAUGGGGCAGCUCAUAAAUGCAGGUGUUUCAGCCCAGCUUAGUGCUUUCUGUGGUGGUGGGGCAGCCAGCGAGAAAUACGGAGCGUAGGGGUUGGUAAUGUAUUUUCAAAAUCAUAGCUACCAAGCUAGCAGUCAUCACUAGCCUGUUAUUCAGCAUGACUCCUGAGUGGUUGGAAGCUUCUCUAUAAAUGAUGUAAUAUGCCAGGGAGUGUCAUGUUCUGACCUUAGUUCCUUUAUUAUGUCUUUGUGUUAGUUUGGUCAGGGCGUGAGUUGGGGUGGGUAGUCUAUGUUAUUUUUUCUAUGAAAUAUUUAUGUGUUUGGCCUGGAAUGGUUCUCAAUCAGAGGCAGAUGUCGUUCGUUGUCUCCAAUUCUGACGUCAUGAUUCAACCUUGUUUUUUCCGAGUUCCCAGUUGUCUUGAAAGAACCAUAAAUCCAGAGAAUGACAGACUUUGAUGCCAAACCGCCGCUACACCUUCCUGUUCAAGUGAGCACAACACAACAAGGACUGUAGAGGUGGUAAGCAGAGAUGAAUUUAACUAGGAUACAGAUGAGAGUCUCUGUUCUUGGGAGGAGGGUCACUGACCUUCGAUGGUUUGUUGCCUGAUAAAGAGGAUACUUGCUGGCUUGAGGAGACUAUAAUGUUUUGAGGAGGAAAUGUGGCUCGAUGACUUAAAGAGGAGGAGGAAUUAUUGGGCGACACUUUUAAUUACCAACGUAACCUCAGUGGAACUGUGGCUUCAUUGAGUUCCAGCUCUAGGCAGACAGCACGUCAGGAAUGCUGUAAGACAUCACAGAGACAGGUAAGUAUCUAUAUAUUUACAUGUGUGUUGCAUGUACACUAAACCCUCACAUUUGGAUAAUGUCACUUUUUAAAGUGAUGACAUGUAUAUUAACAGUGUAAAACAUGAAUAGAUGUUUAAACAUUCUUUACCCCAUCCUAAUUUUCUUCCAGAUGCUUGGCUUUUUCUUUGUCUUUGUGUUGGAGAUUGGCUCUGAUGUUUCAGCCUCUUCUGGAGCUUCUAGCUGCUGGCUGUCUGGCCCCCUGAUGGUUCUCUGGCCCCUCCUGCUGGUUCUCUGAACUCCCCUCCUGGUUGUCUGCCCAUGCCUGUUGCCUCCUUGGCCUUUCCUGGUGGCCAUCAGCAGAUCCAGUGGGCUCUUGGCUUACUUGUUGGCCUGUGGCCCACCAGGGCAACUCCUGACCGUGGUUGUAAUCGUGGCUGUGUUGGGUGGUUAGACACCGGGUGUUGAUUUGAGCAUCAGCCUCCAGAUUCAUCUGAUCCAGGUUUGUGGUUCCAGGCCAGUCUUGGUCGCUGAUCCUCCAUGACUUUCUGCCAUAGCCUCAAUCUCUCAAUCUCUUGCUUCAUUUUAAAAGGUAAAAUUAGUGAUAAUCUAUUACCAAGACAUACUUUCAAAGGAUUUGCAGAGAAUGAUACACAGAAAUACAACCUAGAGCUAGGUAAUUGAAUCAAACACUGGACAACAUCAAUAGCAGGGUCAUGUUGAUCAAUUCAUCUGGACAAUUCAUUGUCAAUUAAUGUAUUGACAUGGUUUGAAAAAAUUAUGAGACAUUUUAUGGAAUCAAUUAUGUCCAAAAUGUGUACAAAUACAAACACACAACCUUCUUGCCCAUUCAGUUAGGGGUUUGAGAAAUUCCUGUUACAAUUUGUGUGAUGUUACAACAAUGUGGCCUCUGAUGUUUAUGCUUGUAGAAAUGACUCCUACAAAUGAUGCUUCACUAAUGCAACUAUUUACAACCUGCACAGAUACAGUUAUCAACAACAACAACAGUAAUGACGUUAAUAAGGAAGUGGAUAUUCAACCGGCAGAAGAAAGGCAUAGGGGUUGAGAUAAAUGAAGGUUAGGUUCAGGACCUAGGGUUGGGUUAAGGUAAAGGUUAGGUAUAGUUUCAGUGAGGUUAAGGUAAGGGUUAAGGAAAGGAAUAAAAGUUAACAUUGGGUUAGCAUACUGCUGUCAGCCACUAUUCAUUUUCAGCUGGGUAAAUAUACACUGCCUUUUAAUAAUAACAAUGACAUGUCUUACGUGGGCCAGUUGUAGGUCCACCAUCAGUAGAUCCAGCAGUUGUUUGAGUCUGUGGAUCUCCUGCAGUUUUCUCUGGUACUCCAUUGCUUCUGUGGCUCUCUCUGCUUCUCUCUGUCUCUCUGCUUCUCUCUGCCUCCCUCUGUCUCUCUGCCUCCCUCUGUCUCUCUGCUUCCCUCUCUCUCUCUGCCCCCCUCUGUCUCUCUGCUUCUCUCUGUCUCUCUGCUUCUCUCUGUCUCUCUGCUUCUCUCUGGCUCUCUGGCUCUCUUCCUCUCUCUGGCUCUCUGCCUCCCUCUGGCUCUCUGCCUCCCUCAGUCUCAGGAUCUCAGCCUGCCACUCUUUCAUUAUACCCCUUUCUACUCUUCUUCUCCUCCUUUCAUCUUUUAAAAGGGCCCGGAGAUGGUCUGUCUCAGACUGUAAUUGUUCAAUGAUCUUGUCCUUCUCCGUUCCACCAUUCCUCUUCUUCUUUUCCUCCUCCCAGAGGGCACACUUGAAGUCUGUCCAUCUCCUUCUUCUGAUUUCGGAUCGUUCGAUCCUUCCCCAUCAACUCAAGCAUGUGGGCUUCCUUCUCUGUAUAGGUCUUCUUCUCUUCUCUCGGGAAGUGAACCUCCAUCUCUGCCUGCUUGUA